rnacentral:rRNA from 1 species
CAGCGAAGUCGUGAGACGGAGCCAAUCCCAGAAAACCGAUCGUAGUCCGGAUUGCAGUCUGCAACUCGACUGCAUGAAGUCGGAAUCGCUAGUAAUCGCGGAUCAGCAUGCCGCGGUGAAUACGUUCCCGGGUCUUGUACACACCGCCCGUCAAACAAUGGGAGUGGUGUUUACCAGAAGUCGUUAGCCUAACCGCAAGGAGGGCGGCGACCACGGUGAGCACCGUGACUAAUGUUAAGUCGUAACAAGGUACC